rnacentral:rRNA from 1 species
CCUACGGGAGGCAGCAGUGGGGAAUAUUGGACAAUGGGCGAAAGCCUGAUCCAGCCAUGCCGCGUGUGUGAAGAAGGCCUUCGGGUUGUAAAGCACUUUCAGUGGGGAAGAAAGCCUUGGGGCUAAUACCCUCGAGGAAGGACAUCACCCACAGAAGAAGCACCGGCUAACUCCGUGCCAGCAGCCGCGGUAAUACGGAGGGUGCGAGCGUUAAUCGGAAUUACUGGGCGUAAAGCGCGCGUAGGCGGUCUGAUAAGCCGGUUGUGAAAGCCCCGGGCUCAACCUGGGAACGGCAUCCGGAACUGUCAGGCUAGAGUGCAGGAGAGGAAGGUAGAAUUCCCGGUGUAGCGGUGACAUGCGUAGAGAUCGGGAGGAAUACCAGUGGCGAAGGCGGCCUUCUGGACUGACACUGACGCUGAGGUGCGAAAGCGUGGGUAGCAAACAGGAUUAGAUACCCUGUAGUC